rnacentral:rRNA from 1 species
UACGUAGGGUGCAAGCGUUGUCCGGAAUUAUUGGGCGUAAAGAGCUUGUAGGCGGUUUGUCGCGUCUGCUGUGAAAUUUCGGGGCUCAACCCCGAACUUGCAGUGGGUACGGGCAGACUAGAGUGUGGUAGGGGAGACUGGAAUUCUCGGUGUAGCGGUGAAAUGCGUAGAUAUCGAGAGGAACACCUGCGGCGAAGGCGGGUUGCUGGGCUGACACUGACGCUGAGGCGCGAAAGCUAGGGGAGCGAACGGG